rnacentral:misc_RNA from 1 species
UCCGGUUUAACACCGGCGGUCUCCCCAGAGUGCCCAACUUAAUGGUGGCAACUAAGGAUAGGGGUUGCGCUCGUUGCGGGACUUAACCCAACAUUUCACAACACGAGCUGACGACAGCCAUGCAGCACCUGUCUCUACGUCCCUUGCGGGACUACUACAUCUCUGCAGUAUUCGUAGGAUGUCAAACCCAGGUAAGGUUCUGCGCGUUGCUUCGAAUUAAACCACAUACUCCACCGCUUGUGCGGGCCCCCGUCAAUUCCUUUGAGUUUCAGCCUUGCGGCCGUACUCCCCAGGCGGGAUACUUAAUGCGUGAGCUUUGAUACUCGGAGGGUUAAUUCUCCAAACAUCUAGUAUCCAUCGUUUAUGGUGCGGACUAC